AGUGAACGCUGGCGGUAGGCCUAACACAUGCAAGUCGAACGGCAGCACAGUAAGAGCUUGCUCUUACGGGUGGCGAGUGGCGGACGGGUGAGGAAUACAUCGGAAUCUACUUUUUCGUGGGGGAUAACGUAGGGAAACUUACGCUAAUACCGCAUACGACCUACGGGUGAAAGCAGGGGAUCUUCGGACCUUGCGCGAUUGAAUGAGCCGAUGUCGGAUUAGCUAGUUGGCGGGGUAAAGGCCCACCAAGGCGACGAUCCGUAGCUGGUCUGAGAGGAUGAUAAGCCACACUGGAACUGAGACACGGUCCAGACUCCUACGGGAGGCAGCAGUGGGGAAUAUUGGACAAAGGGCGCAAGCCUGAUCCAGCCAUACCGCGUGGGUGAAGAAGGCCUUCGGGUUGUAAAGCCCUUUUGUUGGGAAAGAAAAGCAGCAGGUUAAUACCCCGCUGUCCUGACGGUACCCAAAGAAUAGGCACCGGCUAACUUCGUG
rnacentral:rRNA from 1 species